GAUGAACGCUGGCGGCGCGCCUAAUACAUGCGAGUCGAGCGAACGGACGAGAAGCUUGCUUUUCUGAUGUUAGCGGCGGACGGGUGAGUAACACGUGGAUAACCUACCUAUAAGACUGGGAUAACUUCGGGAAACCGGAGCUAAUACCGGAUAAUAUUUUGAACCGCAUGGUUCAAAAGUGAAAGACGGUCUUGCUGUCACUUAUAGAUGGAUCCGCGCUGCAUUAGCUAGUUGGUAAGGUAACGGCUUACCAAGGCAACGAUGCAUAGCCGACCUGAGAGGGUGAUCGGCCACACUGGAACUGAGACACGGUCCAGACUCCUACGGGAGGCAGCAGUAGGGAAUCUUCCGCAAUGGGCGAAAGCCUGACGGAGCAACGCCGCGUGAGUGAUGAAGGUCUUCGGAUCGUAAAACUCUGUUAUUAGGGAAGAACAUAUGUGUAAGUAACUGUGCACAUCUUGACGGUACCUAAUCAGAAAGCCACGGCUAACUACGUG
rnacentral:rRNA from 1 species